rnacentral:rRNA from 1 species
GAUGAACGCUGGCGGCGUGCCUAAUACAUGCAAGUCGAGCGAACGGACGAGAAGCUUGCUUCUCUGAUGUUAGCGGCGGACGGGUGAGUAACACGUGGAUAACCUACCUAUAAGACUGGGAUAACUUCGGGAAACCGGAGCUAAUACCGGAUAAUAUUUUGAACCGCAUGGUUCAAAAGUGAAAGACGGUCUUGCUGUCACUUAUAGAUGGAUCCGCGCUGCAUUAGCUAGUUGGUAAGGUAACGGCUUACCAAGGCAACGAUGCAUAGCCGACCUGAGAGGGUGAUCGGCCACACUGGAACUGAGACACGGUCCAGACUCCUACGGGAGGGAGCAGUAGGGAAUCUUACGCAAUGGGCGAAAGCCUGACGGAGCAACGCCGCGUGAGUGAUGAAGGUCUUCGGAUCGUAAAACUCUGUUAUUAGGGAAGAACAUAUGUGUAAGUAACUGUGCACAUCUUGACGGAACCUAAUCAGAAAGCCACGGCUAACUACGUG